GGAAGUAAAAGCCGUAACAAGGUCUCCGUUGGUGAACCAGCGGAGGGAUCAUUACCGAGUUUACAACUCCCAAACCCAAUGUGAACCAUACCAAACUGUUGCCUCGGCGGGGUCACGCCCCGGGUGCGUCGCAGCCCCGGAACCAGGCGCCCGCCGGAGGGACCAACCAAACUCUUUCUGUAGUCCCCUCGCGGACGUUAUUUUUACAGCUCUGAGCAAAAAUUCAAAAUGAAUCAAAACUUUCAACAACGGAUCUCUUGGUUCUG
rnacentral:misc_RNA from 1 species